rnacentral:rRNA from 1 species
AAUAAGAUACCCCGGUAGUCACGCGUAAACGGUAGGACACUAGGUGUGGGCGACAUUCCAACGUCGUCCGUCGCCGCAGACUAACGACAAUUAACGUGCCCCGCCGUGGGGAGUACGGCCGCAAGGACGUAAAACUACAAAGGAAUUGACGGGGGCCCGCACAAGCGGCGGAGCAUGUGGCUUUAAUUCGACGCAACGCGAAGAACCUUACCAAGGCUUGACAUACACCGGAAACGUCCAGAGAUGGGCGCCCCCUUGUGGUCGGUGUACAGGUGGUGCAUGGCUGUCGUCAGCUCGUGUCGUGAGAUGUUGGGUUAAGUCCCGCUAACGAGCGCAACCCGUUGUCCCGUGUUCGCCAGCAGGCCCUUGUGGUGCUUGGGGACUCGACGGGAGACCGGCCGGGGGUCAACUCGGAGGAAGGUGGGGACGACGUCGAAGGUCAGUCAUGCCCCUUAUGUCUUGGGCUGCACUACGUGCUACAUGGCCGGUACAUGGAGCUGCGAUACCGCGGAGGUGGAGCGAA